UACGUAGGGGGCGAGCGUUGUCCGGAGUUACUGGGCGUAAAGCGCACGCAGGCGGUCCGUUAAGUUUGGAGUGACAGUUGGUGGCUCAACCACCAAAGUGCUUUGAAAACUGGCAGACUUGAGGGCUUCAGAGGGACACGGAAUCCGGGUGGAGUGGUGAAAUGCGUAGAGAUCCGGAGGAACACCGAAGGCGAAGGCAGUGUCCUGGGGAGUACCUGACGCUCGAGGUGCGAAAGCCAGGGGAGCGAACAGG
rnacentral:rRNA from 1 species